rnacentral:rRNA from 1 species
UACGGAGGGAGCUAGCGUUGUUCGGAAUUACUGGGCGUAAAGCGCACGUAGGCGGCUUUGUAAGUUAGAGGUGAAAGCCCGGGGCUCAACUCCGGAACUGCCUUUAAGACUGCAUCGCUUGAAUCCAGGAGAGGUGAGUGGAAUUCCGAGUGUAGAGGUGAAAUUCGUAGAUAUUCGGAAGAACACCAGUGGCGAAGGCGGCUCACUGGACUGGUAUUG